GACGUAGGGCGCGAGCGUUGUCCGGAUUUAUUGGGCGUAAAGAGCUCGUAGGCGGCUUGUCGCGUCAACUGUGAGAACCCGUGGCUCAACCAUGUGGUCUGCAGUCGAUACGGGCAGGCUAGAAUUCGGUAGGGGAGACUGGAAUUCCUGGUGUAGCGGUGAAAUGCGCAGAUAUCAGGAGGAACACCGGUGGCGAAGGCGGGUCUCUGGGCCGAUAUUGACGCUGAGGAGCGAAAGCGUGGGGAGCGAACAGG
rnacentral:rRNA from 1 species